rnacentral:lncRNA from 1 species
UUCUAAUGAAUGGCAAAGGGGAAGUCCACAUGUUUGGCUGAUGCUCCUGUUUUAUACAGAGAGGCUAGAGGGAACAGAGCUUCUCGGAGGGAAGGAAGAAAGGCUAACAAAGUGCAAUUUUUGUUUUUGUUUUACUUCUUUCAAGCAAGAAUCUAAGUUGAUUGCCAAGCCAUACAAUCCAGAAGCUCUGGGGCUCUCCUGGGCCUGCUAAAGAGUUUGCCUUGGAAGAAUCAGACAGCAGGAUGGACUUAGGAGGACAUCUAGUGGCAGAGCAGUGGCUGCCCUGGAACUCUCAAUGUAGACCAGGCUGGCCUGGAACUAACAGAGAUCACCUGCCUCUGACUCCUAGAUACUGGUAUUAAAGAGAACAAGAGGAAGGACCCUCAACAAGAAGCUGUCCCAAAGAAGUGUGGAAUGCCUCAACCACCCAGGCCUGUCUUCACAGAGUGCAUAGAAAGGAUGUGAGGACACUCGUGAACCAUGAAGUGCUACACACACGGUUCUGGUCAUUGUCUUACUCAGCACUGUAAAGGCAGUAGUUGCCUUAGGCAGAGCUAGAAUCCUUCCCAAUUUGGCCCUUACUGGUUGAGAGACCUCAGGCAAGGUACUGAACUCUCCAGGUGUCUGUCUCUUUACUAUAGAACAUCAGCUUCUU